rnacentral:rRNA from 1 species
GAUGAACGCUGGCGGCGUGCCUAAUACAUGCAAGUCGAGCGAACAGACGAGGAGCUUGCUCCUCUGACGUUAGCGGCGGACGGGUGAGUAACACGUGGAUAACCUACCUAUAAGACUGGGAUAACUUCGGGAAACCGGAGCUAAUACCGGAUAAUAUAUUGAACCGCAUGGUUCAAUAGUGAAAGACGGUUUUGCUGUCACUUAUAGCUGGAUCCGCGCCGCAUUAGGUAGUUGGUAAGGUAACGGGUUACCAAUGCAACGAUGCGGAGCCGCCCUGAGAGGGUGAGCGGCCACACUGGAACUGGGACACGGUCCAGACUCCUACGGGAGGCAGCAGUAGGGAAUCUUCCGCAAUGGGCGAAAGCCUGACGGAGCAACGCCGCGUGAGUGAUGAAGGUCUUCGGAUCGUAAAACUCUGUUAUUAGGGAAGAACAAAUGUGUAAGUAACUAUGCACGUCUUGACGGUACCUAAUCAGAAAGCCACGGCUAACUACGUG